UACGUAGGGGGGCUAGCGUUGUCCGGAUUUAUUGGGCGUAAAGAGCGUGUAGGCGGCCAGGUAGGUCUGCUGUGAAAACUCGAGGCUCAACCUCGAGACGUCGGCGGAAACCAUCUGGCUAGAGUCCGGAAGAGGAGAGUGGAAUUCCUGGUGUAGCGGUGAAAUGCGCAGAUAUCAGGAAGAACAUCCGUGGCGAAGGCGGCUCUCUGGGACGGUACUGACGCUGAGACGCGAAAGCGUGGGGAGCGAACAGG
rnacentral:rRNA from 1 species